GGUCAUUGGCAGUCCAAGUUUUGGCAUUAAGUUGUUGAAUAUUUCCUAUUGAACACAACUUCAACCACCAAUCUUUAACUUUACAUCCCAAAAGUUUUGAAUGUGUUACUGUGAUCAAGUUAGCGAAAUUCUUUGGGUGCUGUCAAGCCAAUCUUUGAAAUCUAUGGGUAGUUCCUGCCUCCCAAUAGGAAGCACUCUUUUAUUGAAAUCCUCUCCAUUUCCAAUUCUUUGCUGUUAUUUUGCAGAUAACACAAAUAAUGCUGCUACUCUAGAGGUGACUACCACAUGGGCUUGAAUUUAGGAUAAUCUAGGAUUGAUAGAUCAGAGGAUAAGCCCUCGCCGUUUAUCUUGCCGUAGAAACUGAAGGGAGAUUGCUGAAAAUCAAGACAGAUGACAUGUGGUUUUGCAGCCCGUUUCCAGUUCAAGCUUUUGCAUACCGUCUGUGGUUCUGGACUUCUGGUGUGUUCCUGGACAGUGUUGAUUGUCAAUGCCUUAAAAUUGGUGUCUCCGAAACUAAUUGAAGUAGUCUUAAUUAUGUAGAUGUAGACAAGUGCAUAAUCUGGGCUCCCUUCUUUUCUGUGGCCCCGUUUCCCUAACUAACCACUAACCAACGCCCGCCGGUGGUCACUCACCCGCUGUGAAACCAGGAGGAG
rnacentral:lncRNA from 1 species